rnacentral:lncRNA from 1 species
AUGAAGAAGGCACAGCGCCAUUGUCUAGGUAGAAAGAAUCGAACAUUUUGUUACUCGAAUGUCAUUUUGGUUUCUCCCAUCUUCAGAAGAAUGUUUGAUUACUUUAUAAGUUUAAAUUGGAAGGCUGACAUGAAAUACACUCUCCAUUUUUCUGAAACUUGGAACUAGAGGCUGCAUAUUAUGAUUUCAAAUGAUUGAGAGGAAGUCAACUGAACUCAUACAACUCAGAUAUUGAUUACCUUUUUGUUUUCCAGAAGGAAUCAGUGACUAAAUGUUUACGUCCUUAGUAUCUUGUCUCCUUUUGCAAUUUUAUGAAUGAAGCCUAGAGAUGUGAGGGGAGGAGGCAUCAUGGUGGAAGCUGCAGUGUGGUGAGUGAGGACCCAGCACUAUGCCACAUAUCCUGUUCUGCAUGACCCACUCAUGGACCAGGAUUCUCCAACCCAGCAUUUCCCCGCCACUGUGUAGUCAAGAUUUCUUUACUCAUGUCAUGACAAUAUUAUCCGUUGACUAGAGAUAUAACUUUUACAUAUUUAAAAAAACAGAAAGGAAAAAAUGAAAGACCACAAAUUAUAGUCUUGUACAGGCAUGGCAAUGUAGAUAAUGAAGAAGUCACCUUUUGUCAUUGCUGUUGACAGAGUUAUGUUACAAAAGAAGUCAGGGUUAUGAGACAUUCCCAACUGGGCCCAUUCUUUAGUCUUUAAGAAGAAUAGUGGGAAAUCAUUUUCAUCCAUUGAAGAUGUCUUUUUUUUUUUUUCGAGACAAGGUUUCUCUGUAUAACAGCCCUGGCUAUCCUGGAACUCACUCUGUAGACCAGGCUGGCCUCAAACUCACAGAGAUCAGCCUGCCUUUCCCUCCUGAGUGCUGGGAUUAAAGAUGUGAGCCACUACUGCCUGGCAAGGAUGUCUUUUAAGAUGAUAGAAGUGCAUGGUGCUUUGUAUUGAUAUGGAACUCAUUGUCUAGACUACUUGAAUGUGUGUAAACACAACUUACUUUAAUGGUUUCUAAAAAUAUGAUACAACUUUUCUGAAAACAAUGUUGAACAUACUGUUGUGUCUGGGGUGAAAGAACAUACACAGGGUAUCCUUUCCAACUUUGUCACCCCAGAAUCUAAGAAAUGGAGUCCUAGGCUAUCUGUAUGAGCCAUAAACUGAAGCCUAGCACCUAGCUU